rnacentral:lncRNA from 1 species
CGCAUAAGUCAAAUAUUUAUAAAAUAACAUUUAAGAAUCUUGAUAUAUGAUUACUGCAUAAUUUAUUCUUUUGACCUCAAUGCUCAAAGUGACCUAAGAUUUAACUAUCAAUCCUAAAAUAGUCAUCCACAUUGUAUUUUAAUCUUUUUCAAAUCCUGUGACAGAUCAUGAGGAUUAUCCUGAUCAAGAUUUUACUGAAUUGAUAUACAGUGAUGUAUUAACUCCUGUAAUCCAGAGAGAUAAAUCCCAUCUUAACUCAUAUAUCGUCUUUU